rnacentral:rRNA from 1 species
UACGUAGGCAGCAAGCGUUGUUCGGAAUUACUGGGCGUAAAGAGUGUGUAGGCGGUGUUCUAAGUCUGUUGUGGAAAUCCUCCCGGCUUAACUGGGAGGGUGCGGCGGAAACUGGAAUGCUAGAGGAUGGGAGAGGUAAGCGGAAUUCCUGGUGUAGCGGUGAAAUGCGCAGAUAUCAGGAAGAACACCCGUGCGAGGCGGCUCUCUGGUACGUGACUGACGCUGAGACGGCGAAAGCGUGGGGAGCAAACAGG